rfam:Cavia porcellus supercont2_99 genomic scaffold, whole genome shotgun sequence.
AGCUUUGCGCAGUGGCAGUCUUGUGGCCAGUGAGGUUUAUCUGAGGCGCGAUUAUUGCUAGUUGUAAAAGACUACAUAGAAUUUUGUAUGUAGUGGACUAUAAAUGACAGGAAAAAUAUUUUCUCAGUGACGAAAGUUCUGCAGUCCUUUUUCUUCUUACUAGG